rnacentral:rRNA from 1 species
AUGCCGGCAACAACGGCCACCGCAGCAUCGGGCCAGUGGGCGGAACUCCCGGCCGACCUGCUCCGCGACAUCGCAUGCCGUCUCCGCACCGCGUCCGACUCCGUCCGCUUCGACGCCGUCUGCAGGCCAUGGCGCGACGCGCUCGAAGUUCAAGAAGGCCUCCUGCCGUGGCUCGUCGCGCCGUCCGAGGCCGCCGACGGCUCCGCGGAGGACCAGCGGUGCCGCUGCAUCUUCUCCAGGACGAGCUACCGCGCGCCCGGCGUCUGCGUCCGGGACAGAAGGGUCGCCUGCGCCGACGGCACGGCGGCGUGGCUGCUCAGCGCCCACAAGGAGCUCUCCCUCGUCGACCCCUUGAGUGGCGACCCCCGGCCUCUGCCUUUCCCCAGCGAACGCCUGGACCGCAGGUGGCUGGAGCACAGGCACCGCAUCAUCUCCGAUGACGGCGCCGUCCUCUUAUACAACUUCAGCCCGAACCCACCGCGACAUGGAUGUUAUACCUAUCCGUACCGCAGAGACAGGUUCCGGGCAUCCUUCCUGCGCCCCGGCGACGGCCAAUGGCAGCGUGUGUCGUCGGAUCUCGGCGGCACCGACCUCUGCUGCGCCGCCGCGCAUUACCGCGGCCACGUCGUCUCCGUGGGUUUGGCUAGCUACCAUGUGCUCCGGCCGAACGGGAAACCACUCGCCGAUGGCGCGUUACCGGUGGUGCGAGGAAAGGUACGCCGGCGCAGCCACCUCGUGGAGUAUGACGGCAUGCUGCUGCUGGCCAGUGUUCUUCAGGACGACGGCGGCAACGUCAACGUUAACGACCUGUCGGUGUCGCUGCACAAGCUACGCGUGAAGAAGGGCGGUGAGGUGGUAGAGUGGGCGCGCUGUGACUUCUAUUGCGGCGAGGACGACGUCCUGUUCUUGGGCUUCCCGGGCAGCUUCAUCGCGGACGCCGAAUGGUUUGGCGGGGAGCUGAGCGGUGGCACCGCCUACUUUAUCAUGGCCAACACGGCUCCGCAGCAGCCGUGCAGCGUGUACAGGUACAGCUUCAAAAACGGCGCCGCCACGCUGGUGGAGACGCUGCCGCCCGGAUGGCACGACGCCAGCUGCAUGUGGUUCAUACCCGAACCUGAGAUAACCAUGUUUCUUAAGCCUGACGACCAAGAGCAGGAAACUCCAGCAGACACCUGCAACACCACCAUCAAUCCCAUUCCCUUCUAUUUAACCCAUGCAAUACCCCCGCCCCAAUCCAUACCAUGGCUGUAUUCAUAA